CUCUUAUCAAGAGAGGUGGAGGGAAAGGGCCCUAUGAAACCCGGCAACCAGUGUGAUAUUUAAUGCACUAAGGUGCCAAUUCCUGCAGGUUAUUCUGCAAGAUAAGAG
rnacentral:ncRNA from 2 species